GAUCCUGGCUCAGGAUGAACGCUAGCUACAGGCUUAACACAUGCAAGUCGAGGGGAAACGAUAUUGGAAGCUUGCUUCCGAUAGGCGUCGACCGGCGCACGGGUGAGUAACGCGUAUCCAACCUGCCCAUCACUUGGGGAUAACCCUUGCGAAAGUAAGACUAAUACCCAAUGAUAUCUCUAGAAGACAUCUGAAAGGGAUUAAAGAUUUAUCGGUGAUGGAUGGGGAUGCGU
rnacentral:rRNA from 1 species